UGAUGUGUUAUUCUAUGGAUUACUCUCCAUCAGUUGGAUCUGUGCUCAUCGGUUAGUUCUUUUUCUAUGUGAGUUUGCUGAUUGAUAUGCCCCUUUGAAAUUCUUAGCUUACAGCGUGCCAAGAAAAAGAGUGUGUGUAAUCAAAGAAAUAUCUGCACUAUUAGAUCAAUGUCAGCUGCUUGCUCUGAAAUUGUGUGGAUACGUCGGCUGCUGGCAGAACUUCAUAUCCCUGUCGAUCGCGCCACUACGUUACAUGCUGACAAUACUAGUGCAAUACAGAUAGCAACAAAUCCGGUCCACCACGAAAAUACAAAGCACAUCGAAGUGGACUGUCAUUAUAUUCGUGAACUUGUUGUUGAUCAAGUCAUCAGUCUUCAACAUAUCACUUCUCAUGAUCAAUUGGCAGAUUCGUUUACAAAGCAAUGACAAAGAGCCAGCACCAAUUCCUAUUGUCCAAAUUAAUGCUUCUUGGUCCCCAUCUAGGUCAUACCUUUUUAUAUUAUAUAUAAUAUUUAUUUUUUUAACUCAAUAAUUAUACCUAUAAUUUAAAUAUUUUUAUGUCUUAUUAUAGAUUCUUAUUUAAGUUCAUUAACAUUAUAAAUUAAGUAAUCCUUUUAUGAUUAGUUGAAAAAUCAAACACUAUAUCUUAUGAUUGUUAUUUUAACAUUACAUUCAUUAAAUAUGUAUGUAUGCACAUGUCGUGUAUACUUGUCAACUGGCAUUUUAUUAACUUGUCAUUUGGUUUUAUGUCCUUACCCGUCAAGUUGUAGUUGUGACACACUUAUAAAUACGUUCAAUCAUUCAUAUUGUACAUUUAAGUUUCACUUCUCCAUUACCUAAAAAGACGUUUUAGUUCUCUCUUAUUCUCUAUUUUCUAUAAUGAAAUUUGAUAAUCGUUAAUGAAUUAUUUUUAAAAUUAUAAUUUAAAAUUCAUUUAAAAUAUCAAAAAUAAUCUUUUAGGAAUUUAUUUUAAAAUGUACCUCUAAUUCUAUUAAUUAUUUUUGUAUUACCUACAUUAAAAUAUAUUUAUAAACUUAUUAAUAAAAUUCAAUUUUUUUAUUCUACUAAUUUAUUUAUUAUAGAACGUCACUAACUUAAAAACUCAAUUAGUAGUUCACACGUUUCUUUUUUAAAAACUCAUCAAUUAUGACUUUGUACCAAGCCACUUGGCUAAAUAUCCUUUUUGCCCAACACACACACACAUAUAUAUUAUUGAAAUUUAUUAGAUCUCUUUAUUAUUGUAACUGACAUUUUAAUAACUUGUCAUUUGUUUUUAUGUCCUUACUCGU